UUAAAGUGCUCCUGUGUAAAGAUAAUUAUCCAAUAAAUGUUCCCCUGCACCAGCAAAGUGCAAGAAACAGGUGGAGAAUGGGAGCUCCUGAGGUUUUUUUUUCCAUUUUCAAGCACCUGCAGCUGUAUCAGGAGCUCGUUGCUAGUGAAACAUAUCCUCAUGGUGAGCAGUUUUCCAGUGCCAGCAACAGCUUUGCAUGGCAGCUGCAUGAAGAAGAGAGAUAUUUAUUUAGAGCUGCACUGAGGACAGAGCUCAGUCCUCUGGGGAUGUUUGUUGCUGGCACAAUGUUCCUGAGAUGGAGGAAACCACAAACGGGCUGACAUCAUUUCACCUCAUGGCCUUAGAGAUCCCUGUGGAGGAGGAUGCUGUUCCAGGACAGUGCUUGCUGAGGGAGCAUCGUGGUUGAGCUUCUGCAUCCUUCCAUGGAGAGGCUGAUGGAGUCUGGCAUGCAGUGUGAGCUCCCUGCCUUGGGCCCAUUUAAUGCCUGGGACAGCUCUGAAAGUGGGAUCCCUUCUGGUGCUGGGAUGGAUCAGGCUGAAGCACCUUGUCCGGCUCUUCUGGGCUUUCCCACACUCCUGCUUACAGGGCUCUCAGGGACUGCUUCUCUAAUGGCAUUUGUUGCACCAAAAGCAAAACGUCCCCCUCUGCUCCCUCACAGCCAGCAAGAGUUCUGGCCCUUAAAGGGCCUUUUCUUUCCUGUAUGGAGGGGAUCAGCUCCAUUUCCCAGAGUGAUUCUGCUGGGAGACUCUGUGAGACUCAGUGACUGAUUUUUCAAGUGCUGUUAGAGAUGGAGCACGGUGCACUCCUGCCUUAUCCAGGGGGUGCACCCACAGGCACUGUUGGCUGGCGUGGACUCUUUGCCUGGACUUUGUUCUUUGGAAAGAAGACACACAAGUGAAUGGAAAAGGACCUUGAUAAGACUUUCUUCUGAGAAAAAGACAGAGGAAAGCUGCACAAGCUGUUCAAAAACUGUAUUCCAAAGCUCUCUGCACUUCCCCCAAGUGAUCUUCCUCUCAGAGAAACAGAACAAGUGGAACUACAUAACAGAGGAGACAGAGAUCCAGCCUUCCCUUACUUACAAGUAUGGAUCUGAAGAAAGGCAGAUAAGGUGUGCUG